GUCUACAACCAUGCCACUCUGAACACGCCUGAUCUCAUCUGACCUUGGAAACAAAGCAGGGUCGGGCCUGGAUAGUACUUGGAUGGGGGACCACCUAGAAAUACCAGGUACUGUAGGUU
rnacentral:rRNA from 1 species